rnacentral:rRNA from 1 species
CCUACGGGUGGCAGCAGUGGGGAAUAUUGGGCAAUGGGCGCAAGCCUGACCCAGCAACGCCGCGUGAAGGAAGAAGGCUCUCGGGUUGUAAACUUCUUUUAAUGGGGACGAACAAAUGACGGUACCCCUUGAAUAAGCUACGGCUAACUACGUGCCAGCAGCCGCGGCAAUACGAAGGUGGCAAGCGUUAUCCGGAUUUAUUGGGUGUAAAGGGCGUGUAGGCGGGAGCGCAAGUCAGAUGUGAAAACUCAGGGCUCAACCCUGAGCCUGCAUUUGAAACUGUGAUUCUUGAGUGCUGGAGAGGCAAUCGGAAUUCCGGGUGUAGCGGUGAAAUGCGUAGAUAUACGGAGGAACACCAGUGGCGAAGGCGGAUUGCUAGACAGUAACUGACGCUGAGGCGCGAAAGCGUGGGGAGCAAACAGGAUUAGAUACCCUAGUAGUC